UGGGGAAUAUUGCGCAAUGGGGGGAACCCUGACGCAGCCAUGCCGCGUGAAUGAAGAAGGCCUUCGGGUUGUAAAGUUCUUUCGGUAUUGAGGAAGGUUGAUGUGUUAAUAGCACAUCAAAUUGACGUUAAAUACAGAAGAAGCACCGGCUAACUCCGUGCCAGCAGCCGCGGUAAUACGGAGGGUGCGAGCGUUAAUCGGAAUAACUGGGCGUAAAGGGCACGCAGGCGGUUAUUUAAGUGAGGUGUGAAAGCCCCGGGCUUAACCUGGGAAUUGCAUUUCAGACUGGGUAACUAGAGUACUUUAGGGAGGGGUAGAAUUCCACGUGUAGCGGUGAAAUGCGUAGAGAUGUGGAGGAAUACCGAAGGCGAAGGCAGCCCCUUGGGAAUGUACUGACGCUCAUGUGCGAAAGCGUGGGGAGCAAACAGGAUUAGAUACCCUGGUAGUCCACGCUGUAAACGCUGUCGAUUUGGGGGUUGGGGUUUAACUCUGGCGCCCGUAGCUAACGUGAUAAAUCGACUGCCUGGGGAGUACGGCCGCAAGGUUA
rnacentral:rRNA from 1 species